rnacentral:rRNA from 1 species
GAUGAACGCUGGCGGCGUGCCUAAUACAUGCAAGUCGAGCGAACAGACGAGGAGCUUGCUCCUCUGACGUUAGCGGCGGACGGGUGUGUAACACGUGGAUAACCUACCUAUAAUACUGGGAUAACUUCGGGAAACCGGAGCUAAUACCGGAUAAUAUAUUGAACCGCAUGGUUCAAUAGUGAAAUACGGUUUUGCUGUCACUUAUAGAUGGAUCCGCGCCGCAUUAGCUAGUUGGUAAGGUAACGGCUUACCAAGGCGACGAUGCGUAGCCGACCUGAGAGGGGGAUCGGCCACACGAGAAGUGAGACACGGUCCAGACGCCUGCGGGAGGCAGCAGUAGGGAAUCUUCCGCAAUGGGCGAAAGCCUGACGGAGCAACGCCGCGUGAGUGAUGAAGGUCUUCGGAUCGUAAAACUCUGUUAUUAGGGAAGAACAAAUGUGUAAGUAACUAUGCACGUCUUGACGGUACCUAAUCAGAAAGCCACGGCUAACUACGUG